rnacentral:rRNA from 1 species
AGUGAACGCUGGCGGUAGGCCUAACACAUGCAAGUCGAACGGCAGCACAGUAAGAGCUUGCUCUUACGGGUGGCGAGUGGCGGACGGGUGAGGCAUACAUAGGCAUCCUCUUUUUCGUGGGGGAUUACGUAGGGCAACUUACGCUACUACCGCAUACGUCCUACGGGUGAAAGCAGGGGAUCUUCGGACCUUGCGCGAUUGAAUGAGCCGAUGUCGGAUUAGCUAGUUGGCGAGGUAAAGGCACACCAAGGCAACGAUCCGUAGCUGGUCUGAGAGGAUGAUCAGCCACACUGGAACUGAGACACGGUCCAGACUCCUACGGGAGGCAGCAGUAGGGAAUAUUGGGCAAUGGGCGCAAGCCUGAUCGAGCCAUGCCGCGUGGGUGAAGAAGGCCUUCGGGUCGUAAAGCCCUGUUGUUAGGAAAGAAAAGCAGCAGGUUAAUACCCCGCUAUUCUGACGGUACCCAAAGAAAAAGCACCGGCUAACUUCGUG